rnacentral:rRNA from 1 species
AGCGUACACGGUGGAUGCCCUGGCAGUCAGAGGCGAUGAAGGACGUGCUAAUCUGCGAAAAGCGCCGGUAAGGUGAUAUGAACCGUUAUAACCGGCGAUGUCCGAAUGGGGAAACCCGGUGCACUUCGGUGCAUCAUCGUAACAUGAAUACAUAGUGUUACGAGGCGAACCGGGGGAACUGAAACAUCUAAGUACCCCGAGGAAAAGAAAUCAACCGAGAUUCCCCCAGUAGCGGCGAGCGAACGGGGAGGAGCCCAGAGUCUGAAUCAGCAUGUGUGUUAGUGGAAGCGUCUGGAAAGUCGCGCGAUACAGGGUGAAAGCCCCGUACACAAAAAUGCACAGGCUGUGAACUCGAHGAGUAGGGCGGGACACGUGGUAUCCUGUCUGAAUAUGGGGGGACCAUCCUCCAAGGCUAAAUACUCCUGACUGACCGAUAGUGAACCAGUACCGUGAGGGAAAGGCGAAAAGAACCCCGGCGAGGGGAGUGAAACAGAACCUGAAACCGUGUACGUACAAGCAGUGGGAGCCCCACCACCAAAGCGUUUCGCUUUGCGUGGUGCGCAAAAUGCGUAACGACAGCGUGAUGGACGGUUAACGGAGCGUAAGCGACGUUCAACACAAAAAUCAGGCAGUGGAGCGUUUUGGGGUGGGGUGACUGCGUACCUUUUGUAUAAUGGGUCAGCGACUUAUAUUCUGUAGCAAGGUUAACCGCAUAGGGGAGCCGAAGGGAAACCGAGUCUUAANNGGGCGUUAAGUUGCAGGGUAUAGACCCGAAACCCGGUGAUCUAGCCAUGGGCAGGUUGAAGGUUGGGUAACACUAACUGGAGGACCGAACCGACUAAUGUUGAAAAAUUAGCGGAUGACCUGUGGCUGGGGGUGAAAGGCCAAUCAAACCGGGAGAUAGCUGGUUCUCCCCGAAAGCUAUUUAGGUAGCGCCUCGUGAAUUCAUCUCCGGGGGUAGAGCACUGUUUCGGCCAGGGGGUCAUCCCGACUUACCAACCCGAUGCAAACUGCGAAUACCGGAGAAUGUUAUCACGGGAGACACACGGCGGGUGCUAACGUCCGUCGUGAAGAGGGAAACAACCCAGACCGCCAGCUAAGGUCCCAAAGUCAUGGUUAAGUGGGAAACGAUGUGGGAAGGCCCAGACAGCCAGGAUGUUGGCUUAGAAGCAGCCAUCAUUUAAAGAAAGCGUAAUAGCUCACUGGUCGAGUCGGCCUGCGCGGAAGAUGUAACGGGGCUAAACCAUGCACCGAAGCUGCGGCAGCGACNGUUGUUGGGUAGGGGAGCGUUCUGUAAGCCGUUGAAGGUGGUCUGUGAGGACUGCUGGAGGUAUCAGAAGUGCGAAUGCUGACAUAAGUAACGAUAAAGCGGGUGAAAAGCCCGCUCGCCGGAAGACCAAGGGUUCCUGUCCAACGUUAAUCGGGGCAGGGUGAGUCGACCCCUAAGGCGAGGCCGAAAGGCGUAGUCGAUGGGAAACAGGUUAAUAUUCCUGUACUUGGUGUUACUGCGAAGGGGGGACGGAGAAGGCUAUGUCAUCCGGGCGACGGUUGUCCCGGUUUAAGCGUGCAGGUGUGUGCUCCAGGCAAAUCCGGAGCGCUUUAACACUGAGGCGUGAUGACGAGGCACUACGGUGCUGAAGUGACAGAUGCCCUGCUUCCAGGAAAAGCCUCUAAGCUCCAGGUAACACGAAAUCGUACCCCAAACCGACACAGGUGGUCAGGUAGAGAAUACCAAGGCGCUUGAGAGAACUCGGGUGAAGGAACUAGGCAAAAUGGUGCCGUAACUUCGGGAGAAGGCACGCUGGUGCGUAGGUGAAGUCCCUUGCGGAUGGAGCUGAGACCAGUCGAAGAUACCAGCUGGCUGCAACUGUUUAUUAAAAACACAGCACUGUGCAAACACGAAAGUGGACGUAUACGGUGUGACGCCUGCCCGGUGCCGGAAGGUUAAUUGAUGGGGUCAGCCGUAAGGCGAAGCUCCUGAUCGAAGCCCCGGUAAACGGCGGCCGUAACUAUAACGGUCCUAAGGUAGCGAAAUUCCUUGUCGGGUAAGUUCCGACCUGCACGAAUGGCGUAAUGAUGGCCAGGCUGUCUCCACCCGAGACUCAGUGAAAUUGAACUCGCUGUGAAGAUGCAGUGUACCCGCGGCAAGACGGAAAGACCCCGUGAACCUUUACUAUAGCUUGACACUGAACAUUGAGCCUUGAUGUGUAGGAUAGGUGGGAGGCUUUGA